UUUGCUCUGAACCCGUAUUGACUGUCUGUCAGUAAAUGGUGCUUGUCAAUGAAGUUAUCUAAUCUUCCUAUGAACAGUUGUCUAAUAUAUUGGAG